CCUGGAUGUGUGGCCCAGGUCAGCCUACUUAAUCUUGCUGAUAUUCCAGUUUUUCAUCAGGAACAAGGCUGAUCAUAAUACUACCUUGAAGGAUUGCUGUGAGGACUAGCUAGAGGGAUUGUGUGAGAGUCCCUUGCCCAAUGUCUGGAACACAGUAGAGAUGGAGCAAAGAAACCGUCAUACUCCAAAUGGUGGUGUUUAACCUCAAGUUUGUUUUAAAUAUACCUGCCUGACUCUGACCAGAGAUCAAAGUGAACAUCACAAAUAACGGGACAAAUUGACAUUAUGUGUCUUCUGAUAUGACGCUCUGAGAGGAACACAGCACCAUAAGGUGGUAUCUGUGAUAUCUCUGGCCAACCAUAAGGAAACAAUUACACAAACCCAAACUGAGAAGCCUGCAAAAUAACUGGCAUGAAAUCUUCAAAAAUAUUGAGAUCAUGAAAGGUAAGAAAAGAUAGAAGAAUUAUUCUAGGUUGAAGAAGACUGAAGAAACAUCAAAAGUAAAUGAAUCGCAUGAUCAUGGGUUGGAUUCAAAAAUAGGAGGAAAAAAAAUGUCCAUACAUAUUGGAACAAUAGGUUAAUUAGAAUGGGAUGACUGAGAUGGUGUACUAAAUGGUGAUACUGUGGAAAUGCCAACUUGCUGCUCUUGACAACUGUGGCUGUGUAGGAGAAUG
rnacentral:lncRNA from 1 species